GAUAUAGUUGAGAAGGUCACAGAGCAAUAUAACUAAAAAGCGUACAUGUGCUAUGAAUGCCCAAUGAAUUUAAAUUUGUUGUACAUCUGCCAAAUCACAUGCUUGGAAUUAGGCCUGCGUUCCAUGUCUCUUUUCCAAAAUAUGUGAAUUUGAUUAUAUUCACUGUCGUUUAAUUUUGUUCCUGAUAUCGAUUAAUCAGUUUAAUAUGAAAUAACAUGCCCUUAGACUUAUUAGGUGGUCUCCUUAUACUGGGUGCAUAUGUUAUGACUAUUAUGUGAUUGUCAAUCUUAGAACCAUCUCCAACCAAAGGCUAUAUAUAGCUCACUUAAUUUAGCCUAAAUUUGUGCAAAACUAUCUCCACCUAGGGCUAUAAGAAUUGCUAAUUAAAAAGCAUCAGGACCCAGCAUGUGCAUCACAAGCCAAUCAUCAACCCCACAUCAUAUUGUCUACAAAAUAUUUUCUAAGAACAAAACAUCUCUAGAAUUUUCCAUUCUUUAUAAUAGUAAUUUUUGAAUGGCCAAAACAAAGCCCCCAUGGCUAGAGGAGAGAGGAUUUGCUGCACCCAAAAUUGGAUAUGGCCUUUCUGUGACCCUAAUUAUUGAUUGAUACGUAUUUAUAAACUCAACUUUUUAAAAACUUUGUUGUCAUAAAUUUAAUACGUGUUCGUCAAUAAUUGAGGCCACAACCACAACCAUUUUAGGUGCAAAAAAUCCUCUUAGAGAUAGGAAUAAUAGCUGUCCUCUCUCACUUACCACCAGACACACUAUUCGUUGCUUCAAUCCAUGGUAUUGAUAUGUUGUUAUUUUUUUUGCCAACGGUGAAUAUGAAUCUUUACUAUUGAUCAUAAAUCACCUCUUGGUAUUUUGAUACCAUAUUUACCAAAUUAACAUCUUUCCUUUUUUAUUUGUGUAAUUAACUAAAAAAAAGUUAAACAUAAACAAA
rnacentral:lncRNA from 1 species